UACAGAGGGUGCAAACGUUGUUCGGAAUCACUGGGCGUAAAGCGUGUGUAGGCUGUCAGGCAAGUCGGAUGUGAAAGCCCCGGGCUCAACCCGGGAAGUGCACUCGAUACUGCCUGACUUGAGUAUCGGAGAGGUUGGUGGAAUUCUCGGUGUAGAGGUGAAAUUCAUAGAUAUCGAGAGGAACAUCUGUGGCGAAGGCGGCCAACUGGACGAAUACUGACGCUGAGACACGAAAGCGUGGGGAGCAAACAGG
rnacentral:rRNA from 1 species